rnacentral:rRNA from 1 species
UGCGCAGGCGGAAUGAUAAGUCAGUGGUGAAACCCUACAGCUUAACUGUAGAACUGCCAUUGAUACUGUUAUUCUUGAGUAUAGUUGAAGUGGGCGGAAUGUAUCAUGUAGCGGUGAAAUGCAUAGAUAUGAUACAGAACACCGAUAGCGAAGGCAGCUCACUAAACUAUAACUGACGCUCAGGCACGAAAGCGUGGGGAGCGAACAGGAUUAGAUACCCUGGUAGUCC